UCUCUCUACAAUCCAAAAAUUACACCGUCGCCUUGAUUUCAAUAGUCUCAUACGAAAUUCUUUUAAAGUAAAUCCACAGAGUUCGAAAUUUUAUCAAUAAACUCAAUAAAAUUCACUCGAUUGACCAAGCCAUGACUUUUGAGUCGAUCGAGUGAAUAUAUGGACGAUAUUGAUUUUUUAAACGUGGAGCAGUAGAUUUAGAUAAAAUUACCAUUUUGAAUAUUUGAGAGAAAUCCCCAGUCGUAAGUUUAGUAAAUCUGAAACAUCAUCUAGAACAAACAAUAGUUUGAAUCGCCUGGUGGGUGUAGACCAUGCACUAAGUACUAUUACUGAAAAGUCUUUUUCAUCUUCAUCAGACUCUGUCUAAUAGUCGAUUCCACUUCCGGUGAUGUUUGAUUUCUGGUCGUCGUACAGGAGUUCUCUAUUCUUCCAGUGUUUGUCUAAUCUGUUGUUGAAGGUGUUGACAGUUGCUGCAUUGACUGCAUUACUCAGAUCCUUUAAAUUUGUUACAAAAGAAAUCAAGGAGAAGUAGGAAGUAAGAAUGGGAGCCAGAGGAAACGUCUUAGUAUUCCAAACGGAGCCACCAUUCCAACUGGACCCAAAGUGUACAGCUAUUGAAACAACUGCAGUGCCAUUAAAGUGACCAUCACAAGACUGAGUUUUUAAUUAUAUUUCAUUUAUUUUUGUAAUAAUUAGAAACUAAAAUGAUGUAAAAAUAAUAGAUAUGUAAAGUGUAACAUUAUCUGUUAUAUUUCCUGACAACAAAACGUAUUAUGAAUAUGACGAACAACAGCGGUCCCAAAACGGAUCCUUGUGGAAUCCCAGAUGUCACGUUUGACCAGGAUGAGUACUCAUUAUUGACGGAAACUUGGUGAACUCUUAUAUUGUAGAUAGCUGCUUAUCCAACUAAAUAUUGGUUCCUCGAUGCCAUAUGCUUUUAGUUUGUUCAUCAAUCUUUUCUGUGGUACUGUAUCAAAAGCUUUCAUGUAAUACGUAUACAUGUAUACAACAUCUACAGAUUUCCCAUUAUCUAGAGCUUCUGUCCAUCUAUCAAGUACGUUUAAAAGUUGGAGUGACGUAGACCUCCCCGAAAUGAAUCCAUACUGUCGGUCAGUAAAGAAUUUAUCUUUCUUCAUAUGUUUAACGAUGUGUUCCUGUACAAGUGUUUCCAUGACUUUGCAUACUACCAAUGUUAAGUUGACUGGUCUAUAGUUACCAGCUCAAUAUUUUUUUCCUUUGUUGAAGAUUGCACUGAUUUGCGCUUCUUUCCAUCUAUUUGGUACCGUCUUUGUUGAUAACGAUUUUUUGAAAAUCAAUUGGAGCGGCCCUGCUAUUGUAUCUGAUAGUUCUUUUAGCACUCUCGGGUGUAUUUUGUCCGGUCCAGGUGAUUUAUCUAUAUUUAGUCCUUUCAAUAUUUUAGUACGGCUCUCCACGGUAAUUUCUUAACUUCCCACGGUCGUUUUAGUGUUGUGUAUAGGUAGAUCCGGUAUAGCAUCAUCAGGUUCUUGUGUAAAUACACUAUUGAAAAAAUUGGCAAGUAUUUCCUGAAGCUUUUCCUUUGUCGCCAUUGGUUUUCGGUGAAUUUUCGUCGUUUUGGUCAUUAAGGAGCUCUCCUAUUCCUGAUCGUGUUUUUUAUUUCGAUUUUAUGAAUUUCCAUAUUGCCUUCGGAUUUUCUUGGCUUUAUGUGUGAAGUCCUUUUCAUGUUUUUUUUUUCAACUUCCUUGUCUGUGUUUUAACUAAUUGGUUUCUUACUGUGUUAUAUUCAAGUCGAACUUCAGGGUCUUUGGUUGUAAUAUGUUUCCUGCACAAUGCAGGCUUUUUCUUAAUUUUCUCUAUAAUGUCUUUUUGUCCAUUAGAAAUUCACUCCUUUUCUCUGUUGAUAUUCCUGGCUUACGACUCGGAAUGUACCUUUUCUCCAUCUUAUUUAGUUUUUCUAAGAAUGUUUCCCAGUUUCUGAUUAUGUCGUCAUUUGGAUUUAGUACGGUAUUCCAGUUGGUGUUUGCUGUCUCCUUGUCGAAGUCAGAGUAGUUUCCUUUACAGUAACACAUUCUUGUCCUAUUGUUAAUUUUCAGUUUCGUAUAACAGUUGUAAUCAAAAUGUGUGACACAAUGGUCACUCUUUCCUAAUGGGCUCAUGUAUUCAAGGUCACUGAUCAUGCUUUCUUCGUUAGUUAACAGAAGAUCGGGUAUACGUGCGGCGUAUCAGAUCCUCUCCAUCGUGUUACAUGUCGAUUUAAGAAAUUAUCUUGAACACAUUGCAGGAAUUUGCAUUCGUCUGAUUCGGUGUUGUCAUUUUUAGUAUUGCAUGCUUUCCAGUCUAUAUCUGGGUAGUUUAUAUCUCCCAUCAGUGAAACGUGUGUGAACUGUUUCUUUGUCGACUCAUCUAUGAGUUUAGUAAGUCUGAAUUAUUGUCUUAUUUAACAUUCUCUGGUCGUGAUCUGUAUAACAAGGUAACUAAUUAUGAUAGUACUACAUAUAUGAUGCUGUAUGGAUAUAUAAGUUAUAAUAGUACUAUUAAUAUAUCAAAACAAAAUGUUCAAUAAUUUGCUGCACUUGCUAUGUGAAGGAAAGAAUAAAGUAUUGGAAGUUUGGAACACUUUUUAAAACAAUUAUAAAUGUAUGCUAUACUAGUAUUUAAGAUGAGGGUUUCCUUAUGAAAUAUUUUUCAUAAAAUGGAAAAAUGAAAAUAUUUUAUAGCAAUUCAUAUUGUUGUUCGAUCUUAAUUGUAAGAAUGAUUUAUAACGUAA